rnacentral:rRNA from 1 species
UACGGGGGGAGCAAGCGUUGUUCGGAUUUACUGGGCGUAAAGGGCGCGUAGGCGGCGCAACAAGUCACUUGUGAAAUCUCCGGGCUUAACCCGGAGCGGCCAAGUGAUACUGUCGUGCUAGAGUGCGGAAGGGGCUACUGGAAUUCUCGGUGUAGCGGUGAAAUGCGCAGAUAUCGAGAGGAACACCUGCGGCGAAGGCGGGUAGCUGGGCCGACACUGACGCUGAAGCGCGAAAGCCAGGGGAGCGAACGGG